rnacentral:rRNA from 1 species
AUACGUAGGGAGCGAGCGUUGUCCGGAAUUACUGGGUGUAAAGGGUGCGUAGGCGGGACUGCAAGUCAGAUGUGAAAUGCCGGGGCUUAACCCCGGGGCUGCAUUUGAAACUGUGGUUCUUGAGUGAGGUAGAGGUAAGUGGAAUUCCUAGUGUAGCGGUGAAAUGCGUAGAUAUUAGGAGGAACAUCGGUGGCGAAGGCGGCUUACUGGGCCUUUACUGAAGGUGAGGCACGAAAGCGUGGGGAGCAAACAGGAUUAGAUGCCCUGGUAGUCCACGUUGUAAACGAUGGUGACGAGGUGUGUGGGGACUGAACCCUUCCGUGCCGCAGUUAACACAAUAAGUCAUCCACCUGGGGAGUACGGCCGCAAGGUUGAAACUCAAAUGAAUUGACGGGG